rnacentral:Y_RNA from 1 species
GUUGCGAAUGCCGGUGGAACUACAGCCUUCUAAGCUCGGUGUCGCGGGUUCGAAUCCCGCCGGUCCCACGUCAGCGGGACCGUAGCUCAGUGGUAGAGCACGACGUUUCACCUCACCUUGUCGCAACAGG